GAUGAAGAACUCAGCGAAAUGCGAUAAGUAAUGUGAAUUGCAGAAUUCAGUGAAUCAUCGAAUCUUUGAACGCACAUUGCGCCCGCCAGUAUUCUGGCGAGCAUGCCUGUUCGAGCGUCAUUUCAACCAUCAAGCCCCAGGCUUGUGUUGGAGCCCUGCGGCUGCCGCAGCCUCCCAAAACCAGUGGCGGGCUCGCUAUCACACCGAGUGCAGUAGUUUACUCUUCGCUCAGGGCGUGUGGCGGGUGCUAGCCGUGAAACCCCCAACUUCUCAAGGUUGACCUCGGAUCAGGUAGGAAUACCCGCUGAACUUAAGCAUAUCAAUAAGCGGAGGA
rnacentral:misc_RNA from 1 species